GUUUGGGUCAUUGUGGACUUUGUGCACAACUGUAAUGGUGCUGUCAAUCUGUUAGCUGCCAUUAAUGAUUACCUCCUGAAUCUGAGUAGAUUCCGUUCCGAGGGCACAUUCAGGAACGAGACACUCGUAUCAGAGAGAACCCAGAAGAAUAAUACAGUACACAGCUGUUUCUGAACUUGGUCCCCAUCUACUGUUAGCUAUAAUGGGUGGCUUUGUCAGUAGAAGACCUGUUGACACAGUUAUUAAACAGCCAAAGACGUCUACCACACCACCCCGUAAGCAAGAUGCAUCAGUGCAGCCCAUGGAGCAGUCAACCGAUGAGAAGUUACACGAAGUGGAUGUAACUCUGGAUGUGGACACAGCUCAUCCUAACCUACUGAUAGAUGGGAAAACAGUAAGCUGGAUAAAGGAAACACCACAGAGACUGUGUAGUGAGAAGAUGUUUGAUGAAGAUCCCUAUGUGCUGGGCAUUAUGGGCCGUGCUUGGAGGGCCUACUAGAAUGUGAAUGUGGAGAAGAAGGAUGACUGGGUACUUGGUGUUACCAAGGCAACAUCUAACAGGAAGGGACAAUUGGUUCUCAGCCCUGCCAAUGGCUUCUGGGUAAUCAGGCUGUCCAAUGGGGGAAGACUGAAAGCCAUGGAUGAUAAGGAGCAUGUUCUUGACAAAGAUAUUCCAGAUGAAGUUGGGAUCUAUCUAGAUUAUAAGGAAAGGAAGGUGACUUUCUACAAUGCAGAAGACAGCUCACUCAUCUACUCAUUUAUCAAUGGACCAAGUUAUCAGGAUGAUGUCCGCCCACUUUUCUCUCCCUGGAACAACGAUGCAAAACCAAUCAGAAUAUUGUCCAUUGAAACUAAACAAUCUGAAUCAUCUAAAGCAUGAAGGAUCACCUCUGCAUCAAUCAAUAGGGUACUUUAUUGUGAUGGAGAGGUAAACUUGACUGGUCUUAACUACACUAAUGAUGAUUAAUAUGCCAUACAUGAAUAGGAGUAAUUGUCACUAAAGUAAUAUUUAGGCAUUUGCUUUAUGGAUAUAACUGUAUGAUUCUUUGUGCUGCUCAUCAAAAUGUGACUCUUCGUCACAUCUAAAAAAUAAUUGCAGACGCUCCUAUCCAGAGUGACUUACAGUAGUGAGUGCAUAUAGUUCUAUACGUUUUUUAACUGGUCCCCUUUGUGAAUCAGACCCACAACCCUGGCAUUGCAAUCACCAUGCUCUACCAACUGAGCCACACAGGACCAGCAAGGAAUUGACUUUAUAUUCUUCGUCCUAAUAUAAUGGACAGCUAUUUCAGUAGUAUUUUUUCCAAACCACAUGGAUGUUAUAAAUACAAAUCAUAGUGAACAGGUCAUGUUACCUCCAUUCAUGCACAUUUACUGCACGCUGUAUUGAUUUGUGAAUAAGAAAAUAUUGCUUUUAGGACUUGGAUGUGUAUCAGUUCAUGUCUUGGGAUCAUGAGGAUCAAUCAGUUUAUGCCAGCUCUUACAUAACAAAGUAUGUAUAUGGAAGGUUUGUAAUAAGCUAUAAUAAGUAACCUUGUACAAGCCAGAAGGGCUCAUAGAAGCAGGAGCCUAUCUCCUGUUUCUGUAGCGAAAAGCAGCAUGAGUCUAUCGCAGGGCCUUGCCCCAAAUGCAUCUCCUUGAUGCUGAUAGCCAAGUAGAGACGCAUCAGGUCUCAAUUUAAAAGCCUUUGGUAGGACUUGGUCGGAUAUCAAACCACAAGAUUAGCCAUAGGUAAGCACAAAUUAUAAUGUCAAGACUGCUGUUCUGCGAUCUAAUACAUAUUUUAAAAAUACAUUUGAAGACAGUGUCACACCCUGAUCUGUUUCACCUGUCCUCAUUGAUGGGUCGGCAGGGUAGCUAGUGGUUAGAGCGUUGGACUUGUAACCAAAAGGUUUGCAAGUUCAAAUCUCCGAGCUGACAAGGUAGAAAUCUUUCAUUCCGCCCCUGAACAGGCAGUUAACCCUAGGCUGUCAUUGAAAAUAAGAAUUUAUUCUUAACUGACUUGCCUAGUAAAAUAAAAAUCUCUCCACCCCCUCCAGGUGUCACUUGCUUUUUCCAGUCUAUUUAUCCCUGUGUUUCCUGUCCCUCUGUACAAGUGUAUUUAUCCCUGUGUUUCCUGUCUCUCUGUGAAAGUUUGUCUUGUAUGUUCCAAGUCAACCAGCGUUUUUUUCCCGUACUCCUGGCUUUGCUAUUCUCCUUUUUCUAGUCCUCCUGGUUUUGACUGUUUACUGUUGGACUCUGUACCCGCCUGCCUGACCAUUCUGCCUGCAUUGACCACGAGCCUGUCUGCUGCUCUGUACCUCCUGGACUCUGAACUGGUUUUGACUUUUUGCCUGUCCACGACCAUUCUCUUGCCUACUCCUUUUUGGUUUAUUAAACAUCUUAAACUCCAACCAUCUGCCUCCUGUGUCUGCAUCUG
ensembl:lncRNA